rnacentral:rRNA from 1 species
CAAUAGCGUAUAUUAAAGUUGUUGCGGUUAAAAAGCUCGUAGUUGGAGUUCUGCCAGGUGACGCUCGUCCGCCCAAGUGGUGUGUACAGGGCGUGCAUCUGGCCCUUUCAAGGGGAACGUGUCUGCACUUUACUGUGUGGUGCGAGAUCCUUGACUUUUACUUUGAGGAAAUCAGAGUGUUCCAAGCAGGCUCUCGUCGUGUAUAGCUCAGCAUGGAAUAAUAGCAUUGGACUUCGUUUCUAAGCUGUUGGUUGCAAGAAGCGAGGUAAUGAUGAAGAGGGAUAGUUGGGGGCAUUCGUAUUUAACUGUCAGAGGUGAAAUUCUUGGAUUCGUUAAAGACGGACUACUGCGAAAGCAUCUGCCAUGGAUGUUUUCAUUGA